rnacentral:rRNA from 1 species
GUGCCAGCAGCCGCGGUAAUACAGAGGGUGCAAGCGUUAAUCGGAAUUACUGGGCGUAAAGGGUCUGUAGGCGGAUCAUUAAGUCGGAUGUGAGAUCCCCGGGCUCAACCUGGGAACUGCAUUCGAUACUGGUGGUCUAGAGUGUGCAAGAGGAUGGGGGAAUUCCUGGUGUAGCAGUGAAAUGCGUAGAUAUCGGGAGGAACAUCAAUGGCGAAGGCACCUUUCUGGGGCAACACUGACGCUGAGAGACGAAAGCGUGGGGAGCAAACAGGAUUAGAUACCCUGGUAGUCCACGCCCUAAACGAUGUCAACUAAUUGUUCGAAGUCGCUUAAAUUUUGAGCAAUGAAGCUAACGCGAUAAGUUGACCGCCUGGGGAGUACGGCCGCAAGGUUGAAACUCAAAUAAAUUGACGGG